rnacentral:rRNA from 1 species
UACAGAGGUCUCAAGCGUUGUUCGGAUUCAUUGGGCGUAAAGGGUGCGUAGGCGGCGCGGUAAGUCGGGUGUGAAAUCUCGGAGCUUAACUCCGAAACUGCAUUCGAUACUGCCGUGCUUGAGGACUGGAGAGGAGACUGGAAUUUACGGUGUAGCGGUGAAAUGCGUAGAUAUCAGGAGGAACACCGGUGGUGUAGACGGCUUUCUGGACCGUAACUGACGCUGAGACACGAAAGCGUGGGUAGCAAACAGG